rnacentral:rRNA from 1 species
UUUGCCAAGAAUGUUCCCGUUAAUCAAGAACGAAAGUUAGAGGUUCGAAGGCGAUCAGAUACCGCCCUAGUUCUAACCAUAAACGAUGCCAGCCAGCGAUCCGCCGAAGUUCCUCCGAUGACUCGGCGGGCAGCUUCCGGGAAACCAAAGCUUUUGGGUUCCGGGGGAAGUAUGGUUGCAAAGCUGAAACUUAAAGGAAUUGACGGAAGGGCACCACCAGGAGUGGAGCCUGCGGCUUAAUUUGACUCAACACGGGAAACCUCACCAGGCCCGGACACCGGAAGGAUUGACAGAUUGAGAGCUCUUUCUUGAUUCGGUGGGUGGUGGUGCAUGGCCGUUCUUAGUUGGUGGAGCGAUUUGUCUGGUUAAUUCCGGUAACGAACGAGACUCUAGCCUGCUAAAUAGACGAUUUCCGGUAUCCACAAUAGUGCUACCGGCGAAAUCAAUAUCUUCUUAGAGGGACAGGCGGCUUUCAGCCGCACGAAACUGAGCAAUAACAGGUCUGUGAUGCCCUUAGAUGUCCUGGGCCGCACGCGCGCUACACUGAAGGAAUCAGCGUGUCUACCCUGGCCGAAAGGCUCGGGCAACCCGUUGAACCUCCUUCGUGCUAGGGAUUGGGGCUUGCAAUUGUUCCCCAUGAACGAGGAAUUCCCAGUAAGCGCGAGUCAUAAGCUCGCGUUGAUUACGUCCCUGCCCUUUGUACACACCGCCCGUCGCUACUACCGAUUGAAUGAUUUAGUGAGGUCUUCGGACUGGUGCGCGGCGGCCGCCUCCGCGGGCGCCGAUGCCACCGGGAAGAUGACCGAAC